rnacentral:rRNA from 1 species
AGAAUGAACGCUAGCGAUAUGCUUAACACAUGCAAGUUGAACGUUGUUUUCGAGUCAAAAUGAAAACAAAGUGGCGAACGGGUGCGUAACACGUGGGAAUCUGCCAAACAGUUUGGGCCAAAUCCUGAAUGAAUGAAAGCUAAAAAGCGCUGUUUGAUGAGCCCACGUAGUAUUAGGUAGUUGGUUAGGUAAAAGCUGACCAAGCCUACGAUGCUUAGCUGGUCUUUUCGGAUGAUCAGCCACACUGGGACUGAGACACGGCCCAGACUCCUACGGGAGGCAGCAGUGGGGAAUCUUGGACAAUGGGCGAAAGCCUGAUCCGGCAAUAUGGCGUGAGUGAAGAAGGGCAACGCAGCCUGUAAAGCUCUUUCAUCGAGUGUGCGAUUGUGACAAGACUUGAAUAAGAAGCCCGGCUAACUCCGCGCCAGCAGCCGC